CCUAAAUGUCUAGCAUUAAAGGAAUAGUUGAGUAAAUAAUGAAAAAUAGACUGUAUUAUAAAGCAGCUGUUAUGGAUUGAAUUGUGCCCCCAAAAAUAAAAAAAUGUGUUGUAAAUACCUUAUAAUCCCAUUUGGGAAUGGGUGGUCUUUGUUAUGUUAAUGAGACAGGAUUAAUGUAGGGUGUGUUUUGAGUCAGUCUCUUACAAAAUACAAAAAGAGCAGAUUAGACAAGCAGAGAAGGGGUAAGAGAGAUGCCAAGCCACAGAAAGAUAGCCCAGGAGCUGAAGCUCAGAAGAGACAAGGACCUCCCCUAGAGCCAACAGACAGAAAGCCUUUCCCUAAAGCCAGCACCCUGAUUUCAGACUUCUAGCCUCCUAACUGUGAGAGAAUAAACUUCUGCUUUUAAAGCUGCCCACUUGUGGUAUUUCUGUUAUAGCAGCACUAGAUAACGAAGACAGCAGCCAUUAUAAAAAUUGACUUUUUGAAUAUUUUAACUAGACGGGGAAAUGCUGACAACAUGCUGAGUAGGAAAAGCAAGAACCAUGUAAAUUCAGCAUAAUCUCAACUCAGUUAAAAAGGCGUUAAAAAAAAAAAAAAGGGAAAUCUGGAAGAAAUAUCCCCAAUGUAUAUUACCAACAACAACAGCAAAAACAAACAAGCAAGCAAGCAAACAAACAAAUAAAUAAAUCAAAGAAAAAAGGAAAUAUCUCCAAAUGACAACUGUGGUUGCCUCUGAAGUUGAGAUUAUGGGAAAUUGCUCAUUUUCUGGACAUUUAUAUUUUCAUACUCUUUUCCAGUUUUCUGCAAUGAGCAUUUAUUACUUUGUAAUCUGAAAGAAAAAGAAAGUAAAAUACUGAGAAAACCAUGACACGCAUUGCUGGCAUGAGUCAGGAGCUGAAUUUUCAUGUUUAAAAUAGUUUCGGAAGCACAGGCGUGGUUUCUAGGCAACCUGCUUGGGAAAUCAUGUUCUUUUCCAUUAUCGCUGGAGUGUGCGAGAGUGUCUCAAAGAGAACGUAAGACGUAAACCCUUGUGAAAGCAGACUCCUGGAAGGAAAAGUAAGCUUUGCCACAAUGUUUUGGACACUGGGGCUUGAGUGAUAGUGAUCCCAGAGGCACUCAGGGGCCUGAGAUUUUUAUCUUAUUGGCAAAUUACUGUUUGAUUUUAAUGAGGCUUGCCAUAGGUGGGUACAGAUGGAUAUUCAAGUUUGCACACAGUGUGGGAAAUUGGGGUAGAAAACAAAAACCAGAGCUCAAUGGCUUUGUUGAGAAUCUAGGGUUGUGAAUUCAGGCAGUUACAAGGCUUUGUGAGACGGAUUGCCGCGCAAGGUGAAGAGACUGCCUCAUCAUCGCGUGAGCCAUUUAUUUUCAUCACAGAUAAUCCUGCUGAGCCAAAGGGCUUUUAAUCAGGAGGAAACACUGAAGAGUGGAAUCAGGGCUAAGAAUCCCUGGGUUGGUGGAGGGCUGUAGAAGAUGGGCUGAGUUAACAAAGUCUUUUAGCUUAGAGGAGGACGUGUUCUUUACUAAGGGUUUGCAGAAGGCGCGAAAGGUAUUGGUUGCAGCUCCCGGUGUAUGUUUUGCUGACCUUGAGUGCAAUUUUCAGCAAGAACUAAAGGGUUUUGGUCUAUGAAUAGGGUAAGAGCUCAGCUUCUCACUCCGAGGCCUCCUUGUGGUUGUCUUUGGUAAUGAUAAAAAAGUGAAGUGACUUAAAGUAAACAGCAGGUGUUUUGGAUAAUGACAGCCCUUGACUAAGGGUUUACUGCAUUUGAACUUUCACCUCUCAGACUCGAUCAAAGCUCAAGUGCGAGGCUGAAAAUCGGGAACUCUGACCCCAGAAGGGGUGGACACACUUCUUCACAGGAAGUGAGGCAGGAGGGCAGGAAUCUUUCAAAGUAGAUGCUGAAGAGCCUACUGGUCUACAAGACACUACACACACGUCCUGCAUUCCACUUAAUAAUGGAUCCCUGGGUCUGACCAUCCCUUCCUUAAGAUGACAAACACCUUGGAGCCUAAAGAAAGGUCAGACUGCUCUGGUGAGAACGCCACCAGUAAGAGACUUCAGCCUCCUUUUAGUCAGUCCAAUGUCCUCUCCCUUCUCUGAACUCCUGGUCGGAACCUCUCAUUUGGCAGUGGAUCACCCCUGUGGGUUGAGACCAAUUGAUGCAUCUUAGAUGGCCGCUUGCUAGCUUUGAAGACCCCAGACACCUCUCUCCAAGGUGUGAAAUCUAGUCCUACAAACCAGUGAAGGAGUUAGCUCCUCGCAGACCCUCCUGGAAUCGUCCGUUUUGGUUUUCAGGAUUGUGCUCUUUUAGGCAUAGAUCUGCCUAAGAGCUGGUUUUGAAAACAGCAAAUUUCACACAUGAUGUAUCUUCAGUUGCCUGUGCAGGGACCUGCAGGGAGUUUACAGAGACACCUGGUGGCUGGUUUGACUAAGUACCCUAGCUUUGCUAACCCUUUAACAAAUUGAAUUGUGUCUAAAAUGGGGUUUGUUUUUGUGGUUGAGAAUUCCAUUCUUUCUUCUGAUUCUUUUAGGAAGAUUUCAGUUAUAUAUUUAAGAAGUAUACUUUUAUUUAUUUAUUUAUUUAGGUUAUUUGUUUAACCUCCAGCCUUUCUUUCUUAAAGAAACCAUCAGCCAGGUGAAUUGACCAGCCUGAUCAGCUGGGAUAAAUAUAAUCACCCAUUGCAAUCAAGUCAAUUCUGACCCAUAGCAACCCUACAGGACAGAGUAGAACUGCCCCAUACGGUUUCCAAAAAGCACCUGGUGGAUUUGAACUGCUGACAUUUUGGUUAGCAGUCACAGCGCUUAACCACUCUACCACCAGGUUUUCCCCAUAUCCCUAAGCCAAAAAAAAGAAAAAACCAAACCCGUUGCUGUCCAGUUGAUUCUGACUCAUAGCAACCCUAAGUAGACCUUAAAUUCAGAAACCAAAGGUGAGUGAGGAGUGAAGAAAAGGUAAUGGUGGAUUUUUCUCCCUGGAAAUGUAUGGUAUAAAACACAGGCUGACAAACUGAAAGGCCGGAUAGCAAACAUCUUAGGCUUUGUGGGCCAUAUGGUCUCUGCUGCAGCUACUCAGCUCUGCCAUUGUGGUGUAAAAGUUGCCUUGCUGUUGUUGUUAGGUGCUGCUGAGUGGAUUCUGACUCGUAGCAACCCCAUGUGACAAGGUAGGGUUUUCUUGGCUGUAAUCUUUAUGGAAGCUGACCACCAGGUCUUUUUUCUCCCAUGGAGCUGUUGGGUGGGUUUUCACAGCCAACCUUUUGGUCAGCAGCUGAGUGCUUAACCUUUGCACCACCAGUGCUUCUUAAAGGUAGCCAUGGGUAAUACUAAAAUAAUGGGUAUGACUAUGUUCCAAUAAAACUUUAUUCAUAAAAACAUUGGCCCAUGGGCUAUAGUUUGCCAAUGCUUGGCAAAGAGGACAGUUUAUGAACUCAGGAGGUGGUACACAUAGGUUUAAAUCAUAGCUCCUCUACUUACCAGCUAUGUGACUUGGGCAAAGCAUCUAGCCUCUCUAAACCUUGCUUUCUCCCCUGUGUAGUUGGAAUAAUAAAACCUACCUCAUGAGGUUGUUGUGAAGAUUAAAAGAGCCAGCAGAGACUAGGGUGAGUGAGGUACUCACCUCAGGGAAAAAAUUAAGGAAACACCAAAAACUGAGUAGUGAAGACAGAUAAUAUUUCAAUGCAAUAUUUUAAAAAAUAAAAGUUAAUUCAAAAACUUCACGGUGAACAAAAUAUCAAAAUUUCAAAGAAACACGGCAUCAUAAUCUGAGUACUCUGGAGGAGCAAAACCAGUGAGACGUAUAUAGACAUUUAGAGAGAAAUUUACUUCAAGGAAAUGGCUCAUGCAAUCACAGGGGCUGGCAAGUCCCAAAUCUGUGGGCCAGGUGGCAAGCUGAAGGCUUCUGCUGGUUCAUGUGGUUGCAGGGACUGGCGAACUCAAAAUCUGCAGGUCAGGUGGCAGACUGAAGGCUUCUCAUGUCCCCAAAACCAGAGAUCAAGUGACAAGAAGAGUGCAGGAUCAAAAGAGAGGAAGCUUUGCCAGAACAUCCAUUUUUAUACUGGAGGCGGGCCCCACUCCCAAGGAAAAUACCCUUUCAACUGAUUGCUGCUCACAUCAGAGCACGAAAUGGAAAGUGAUUGCAUAGUGUCUGCAAAACCACUGAGAAUCAAAGUCUAGCCAAGUUGACAUAUAACAUUAACCAUCACGUCACAGACAGGAUAAGUAUUAAUGAUUUUUUCUUUUAUUUCAAGUUUCUAUGUGGCUCAGAAAGGUACUGAAAAGAGCUAAUGUACCCGAGGGCCUAGCCCCUAACCUGGCUUGUACAUAGUCAGUAAAUCUAUGACCCCUAUCCCCACCCCACCCCCACUAUGAUUUCCCUUGUCCUUUCUGUCAUUCUCUUAGUCUCUUCUCAUUUAUAUCAGGUAUGAGGCCCUGGGAGGUGCAAACAUUUAAGUGCUCUGCUACUAACCAAAAGGUUGGCAGUUUGAAUCCAACCAGAAGUGCCUGGAAAGAAAGGCCUGGCAAUCUGCUUCUGAAAGGUCACAGAUAUGAAAACCAUAUGGAGCACAGUUCUACCCUGAAACACAUGAGUUCUCCAUGAGUUGGAAUUGACUGGACAGCAACAGGUGUCGCAUAAGGAAGAUCGAAGAAGGAUUGACACCUUUGAAUUGUGGUGUUGGCGAAGAAUAUUGAACAUACCAUGGACUGCCAAGAGAACGAACAAAUCUGUCUUGGAAGAAGUACAACCAGAAUGCUCCUUGGAAGCAAGGAUGGCAAGACUACGUCUCACGAACUUUGGACAUGUUGUCAGGACAGAUCAGUCCCUGCAGAACGACUUCAUGCUUGAUAAAGUACAGGGUGAGCGGAAAAGAGGAAGACCUUCAAUGAGGUGGAUUGACACAGUGGCUGCAAUAGUGGGCUCAAGCAUAGCAACGAUUGUGAGGAAGGAGCAGGACCGGGCAGUGUUUUGUUCUGUUGUGCGUAGGGUCACUAUGAGUUGGAACUGACUCGACAGCACCUAACAACAAAUACGUGUUGGAAUCCUAACCCCUAUACUUGUGGAUGUAAUGUAAUGUAGUGUAAUGUAGUGUAGUGUAGUGUAAUGUAAUGUAGUGUAGUGUAGUGUAGUGUAGUGUAGUGUAGUGUAGUGUAGUGUAGUGUAAUGUAAUGUAAUAUAAUCACUUUCCAUAAUGCAAUCUAAUGUAAUGUAAUCAAUCAGCUAGUUGAGGUCAUGUCAGUGUAGGGUAGAUCCUACACCUAAUCCCUUCUGAGUUAAAAAAUAGCAGAUUAGACACAGAGGCAUGCACACAUGGGGGAUGAGGAAGACAGAUGACUGAGACAGAUGCAUCUGUAAGCCUAGGAAUGCCAAGGAUUGCUGUCAACUAUUAGAGGCUGAAAUAGAUGAAGAAGAACCUCCCCCUAGAGCCACACCCUGAAUUCAGAUUUCUAGCCUCCUGAAUUCUGAGAAAAUAAACUCCUGUUCUUGAAAGCUAUCCACUUGUAUUUCUGUUACAGCAGCACUAGGAAGCUAAGAUAACUCCCAAAAUAGCCUGGAAAAGGUAUCAGUUCGGUGCGCAUGGUGCUGCCGCUGCAGUUCUCAAUUCCUCUUCAUGAGGAUAAGCAACCUUAAACUAGCCUUAAACUAGCAUGCAGCUGUUAACAAGAGGGCCCCCUCCUGCCUGCUCUUGGGCUUGCAUUUCAUUUCACUCUUGCUUUGUCAUCAUAGGGAAGGGGGUUGCAAAUAGCAGGAAAAUAUUGUGCAACUGGAGUCAUAUAAGCUGCCAUGAAAAGAGGAAGUAAAGCCAGUGGGGUGAAAAAAAACAGGAGUGACAAAGGAACAGAAACUGAACAGCAAAGGAAAAUCGCAGAAAAGCCACAACAAGCAAGUAGCCCAACAAGGAGGCAAGGAGGGCCCCAAGGAUGGGGGCCUCUCAGUUCAUGGUGAAGAAAGACCUUGGAAAUAAGAGGAAGCCAGGAGAUACUCACCCUGUGCAACUGCGUAAAGUGUUGUGGCUUUCAAAUAUAUUCCCUUAGGGGGUUUCAAGGCGAAUAGCUUGCACCCUCUGACAAAGCACUGACAUCAGAGCCGGUUACAGUCCCCAGAUCAUUCGCCUGGGCAUAUUGGAUACCCUGUGUCAUGUAUCAGCUGUUCUCCUGACCCAGAAAACUGCAUGUCCCUUGUCUCCUGCUAAUGUGUCUUUAUGAGCUUGGCUCUUUAUUCUGUUGGGAAUUUACAGGGUUUCUUUUACCAAAGGAAUCAUAGUAAUAUUUACUGAGUACCUGCUAUAUGCCAAGUAUGUGUGAGGCACUUUGUUUUCUCUUUAAUCCUCACGAUAACCCUUUUAGGUAAGUAUUAUAGUUCUCAUUUUUACAAAUAAGAAAACAAAUUCAGAGGAAUUAUGUGACUUGCUCAAGUUCACUUAGCUAGUAAGUGUUGGCCUCAGGAUUUGAGCCUGAGUAUGGAUGAGGAUAACUCCUGUGUCCUUAUGUUCUUUCUAUUGCAGCAGGUCAGCAAAGACAUGGGGCAGAUGCCUCCACACCUUCCUCUUGCAUCCAUGGUGAAUGCUGCUAGUUGAUUUUGGUGGUUGUUCUCCUUGAGCUAGGACUGUAUAUAAGUCACACACAUAGAUGUGUAUAUAUAUCUAGUGCUGCUAUAACAGAAAUACCACAAGUGGAUGGCUUUAACAAAGAGAAAUGUAUUUCUUCACAGUAAAAUAGGCUAAAAGUCCAAUUCAGGAUGUCAGCUCCAGGGGAAGGCUUUCUCUCUCUGUUGACCUUCUCAUCAGUCUUCCCCCAGACUAGGAGCUUCCUGGCACAGGUACCCUGAUUCAAAAGGAUGCACUCUGCUCCCAACACUGCUUUCUUGGUGGUAUGAUGUCCCCCGUCUCUGGUUGCUUCUUUCUUUUAUAUCUCAAGAGUUUGCCUCAAGAUGAAAUCCAAUCUUGUAGAUUGAGUCCUGCCUCACUAACACAACUGCCACCCAUCCUCCUUUAUUAACAUGAUAGAGGCAGGAUUUACAACAUAUAGGAAAAUCACACAAUACUGAGAAUCAUGGCCCAGCCAAACUUACACCCACGUAUUUGGGGGGACAUAAUUCAAUCCAUGACAAUCUGUAUAUAAACCCAACCCAUUGCCAUUCGGUUGAUUCCGACUCAUAGCAACCGUAUUGGACAGAGUAAGACUGCCCCACAGGAUUUCCAAGGAGCCUCUGGAGGAUUUGAGCUGCCAACCUUUUGGUUAGCAGCUGAGCUCUUAAUGACUACACCACCAGGGCUCCAUAUAUAUGCAUAUAGAGAAGUAUGAGUUUGUGGUCCGUAUGCUCCAGGAAUUUUGCUUUGACAUAGGUUAACCCAUAAUACAGCAGUAGACUAACAACUGAGGCCCAGAAAUAAUACCCUUGUAGGAAAUAUAGCCAUCACUCUUUGUCUGAGAGCUAGCCUUUCCCCUGUUCUUUCACCUAACUUUGUAAUUCCAUAGAUUCCUUUCCUCAUUUUAGAUGUCACUCAUUUAUUCAAUCAGUAGGUAUCCUCUGCAUGUCUGGAAGCACAGCACAACAAGACAAAGUCCCGGCUCUUAUGGAACUUAAUUUCUGGCAGUACGUAAACACAUACACGUCAGCUGGUCAUAGUGCUAUGAAAAAAGUAAAGCAAGGACAAUGAAUACAGAAGAUGUGGUAUUACUGUUAUGGAUUGAAUUGUGUCCCCCCAAAAGAAUUCCUAGACCUUGUACCUGUGAAUGUGACCUUGUUUUGGAAGUAGAGUUCUUCUUUGAUGACACUAUUAGUUAAGGAUGUCUUGCUAGUGUAGGGCUGGUCUUAAUUCCUUGUUGUUAUUGUUGUGUGCCUGUCCAGUAGAUUCCAACUUGUAGCAACCCCACAUGACAGAGUAGAACUGCCCUAUAGGAUUUUCUAGGCUGUAAUCUUUACAAGAGCAGAUCGCCAGUUCUUUCUCCCGUGGAGCUGCUGGGUAGGUUCGAACCACUAACAUUUUGCUUAGCAGUAGAGCACUUAACUGUUGCACCACCGGGGCUCCUUUCAAUCCCUUCUUAGUAGUGGUGUCUUAUAAGAGGGAAGAACAGGAGAGAGAAUCACACAGGGAAAGACAGGCACCAUGAGCAGGUGCAUCUAAAAGCCAAGGAAUGCCAAGUGAUUCUUGAGUCUACCGGAAGCCGGAAGAGACAAGGCAGGAUCUUCCCCAAGAGUGAACAUUGAGUGCACGACCCUGCCAAUGCUCUGAAUUCAGAUUUCUAGCCUCCAGAGCUGAGAGACAAUAAAUUCCUUCUAAUUAAACCCACCCACUUUGUGGUAGUUUUGUUACGGCAGCCUUCAAAAAAAAAAAAAACAAAAAAAAACCCAUUGCCAUCGAGUUGAUUCAGACUCAUAGCGACCCUAUAGGACAGAGUAGAACUGCCCCACAGGGUUUCCAAGGAGUGCCUGGUGGAUUCGAACUGCCAACCUUUUGGUUAGCAGCCAUAGUGCUUAACUACUUUACUGCCAGGGUUUCCAUGGCAGCCUUAGGGAACUAAAACAGUUUUUUACGUAGGGUUGUCAGGGAAGGGCCUUCCAAUAAGGUGGCAUUUGGGCUGAAACAAGAAGGAAGGGAGAGAGAGAGAAAUCCAGAAGGAUAUGGGGCAAGGGUGUCCCAGGCUGAGGAAACAGAGAGGGCAAAAGCCCAGAGCAGGAGUGGCAUAGUGAGUUUGUGGAAUCGCAGAGGCAAGUAAGUGUGAUUGAGUGGAGCUAGCAAGAGGGAGAGAGUUAGCAAUGAAAAGUCAGGGGGAGAAAUGUAGAAGCCUGGAGUCACUGGUAAGGAUUUUACUCUGAGUGAGAUGAGAAUUCACUGGACGACUGAGCGGAGCGGUGACUUGAUUCAAUCUGUGUUUUAAAACUAUGGUCUGAACCUUGAAAACAUUAUGCUGAGUGAAGAUAAGUCAUUCACAAAAGGACAAAUAUUGUAUGAUACCACUUAUCUGAAAUAUCUAGAACAGGAAAAUGUAUAGAAACCAAGGUUUAUUAGUGUUUACUAGAGGAAAGAGGGAGGGGAGAAGGUGAGAGUAUUGCUUAGCGGGCACCGAGUUUCUGUUAAGUGUGCUGGAAUAAUUUGGAAAUGGAUAGUGGUGAUGGCUGUACAACACAAUAAGUGUAUUCAAUGUCACUGAAUUGCAUGUGUAAAAAAUGUUGAAUUGGCAAAUGUUUUGUUUUAUAUAUAUAUGUAUUUAUCACAGUUAAUAAGAUACACACACACACAAAUACAAACUACCGCUUGGCUAGUAUAUGGGGAACAGAGUGUAGGGGUCAAUGUUUGUUGUUAGGAGACAAGAACAGGGGUGCAGAUGAGAGUCUGCAAAGGUUUGAAUCAGAUUGACAAAGGGAUGGUGAAGGAGCAAAAAGUGGCUGGAUUCCAGAUAAGUUUUGAAGGUAGAGUAAUCAGGAUUCAUUGACAGAUGGGAUGUGAGGUAUGAGGAAGAGAGGAGUCAAGGAUGACGCACAGGAAUUUGACCUGUUUUAAGUCAUGGUUAGAAAAAUUCAAGAGUUGGAUGCUUCCUUCAUGAUGCUCAGAAGCACAAGAGAAGCUGUAUUGCUGGGUUUUACUAGGCAGAGUUUUCCAGUCCUGCACACUUCUGACAUUGCUAGAGUACCGUGGGGAAACAGGGAGACACAGUGAUGUACAGUUCCAAAAAGAGGAAUUGGCCUCCAACCAGAUGCCAGCACCACACUGAGAUAUGUAGCCCAUGGUUCCCAUUUUCCCAGGAGAUCUUCCCUUGUUCCCAAAUCCUUCUGGUUCUGAUUUAAUCUGUAGUUCUUCAAACCAAAUUAACGUGAGUACAACCGAAGAAUUGGGGUCCCAAUCGUAGAAACAAAACAAUGCUCUGGGCCUCGAGUCCUCCUAGUGAAAUUACUAUAGCCCUGCCCUAUAAACUCCAUCUGUCGCAUUUAUGGGAACCUCUGUGGGACUCAGUGUACUUCUGAAACACUUCCCUGUUAUUCAUUGCUGUCACCCCCUGGCCUGGCUGAAGCCACAGUUUCUAUCAUGACUGGAUAUGUUACCCAUAUUGGGGACUCUAAUCCUUGUCCAUGUCUCUAACAUCACUAUUUGGAAGUGAGAAGGCCUACGGACUUCCAGUCAUCAAACAGGCUGCCAUGCACUCUCCAGUUCCCAUGCGCCUCUGGCUCGUCAUUGGAAAGGUUCCUUCUGUACAUUACAGUGCCCUCUCUAGGAAUUUGGCACGAGGCCCCUGGGAGCCUGCUCUGAAAGACAGUUUGAAUUUAACCGGUUGAGCUAUACUCAGUGUCAGCCCUGGCCCCACCAGGCAUCUGCCCAAAUGAAGCUUGUGCAAUGUGACUCUGUUCCCUUCAGGCCAUGCUCCUUCUUCAUCGUUAACUCUGCUAAUCUAUUUCUUAGUUUGGGCUUGGUUAAAUUUGCUGGAGUCUGGUUAAGUUUGUUUGAGCCUGGUUAAGCGGGUUUACGGAGUUGAUGGCCUAGAUUAGGGGUCAGCAAACUAUGGCUCACUGACUAUUUUUGUAAAUAAAGCUUUAUUGGAACACAGCUGAACUCCUUUACGUAUGUAUUGCUUAGUUGCUUUCAUGCUGCAGUGGCAGAGAUGAGUGGUUGCUACAGAGACCAUAUGGCCUGCAAAGCUGGAAGUAUUUACUAUCCGACUUUUCAUAGAAAGAGUUUGUCAAUGCCUGUAAUAGAUUUAGCUAAGCCAAUUCUCACAACUUAAAAAGACUACUACAGAAGUAAAUAAAUAAUUCCAACAGGCUUCUUCAUAGAAAUGGGAAAGCCAAUCCUUAAAUUUACAAAUUUACUUAUUGCUGUUAAGUAAGUAAAUAGAUAAAUAAAUCUAUUGUGAACUGAUUGUAAUAUCAACACUGCAAUUAGAAGGGAUAAUAAGAAAAUGGCAGUACUGAUAUUUUCCUAUCCAUAGUACAAGUUGCUUGUCAGAUAAAAGUCAUGCUCUAAUCAGAUCUGUGAAAAAGCUGGGAGAGAGAAUGAGACCACACUAGAUAGAUAGAUACAUAGAUAGAUUAAGGGAUGAAUAGAUACCAAACCAAACCAAACCCAUUGCUGUUGAGUUGAUUCCAACUCAUAGGAAAGAGUAAAGCUGCUUCAUAGGGCUUCCAAGGCUGUAAAAUCUUCAUGGAAACAGACUGCCACAUUUUUCUCUCACAGAGCGGCUGGUAAAUUUGAACUGCCAACUUUUCAGUUAGCAGUUGAGCACUUUAACCACUGUGCCACCAGGGCUUCUUAGAUAGAUAGAUAUAGACAGAUAGACAGAUGACAGAUAGGUAGAUAGAUAGACAGACAAUCAGACCUAAAUAAAGAGUACAAUUGUGGUUACAGGUCACAUGCUCAAUUUUUUUUUUUUUUUUAACUGAUGGGCUACAUGUUUCCCCCUUAAUUUGCACUUCUUAUGGUUAAACACUGUUCUUAGAAUUUCACAUACAUUAACUCAUUUAAUCCUCAAAACAACCCUAAGAGGUAGGCACUGUUAUAAAUUAUCCCAUUUUAUAGAUGAAGAAACUGAGACACAGAGAGUUUACUUAAUUAGCCCAAAGUCACACAGCUAGAAAAUGGCAGGCCAGGGAUUGGAGUCCAAGCAGUUUGACUCCAGAGUCUAUGCUCUUAAACUCUAUGCUAUAUUAGCUUUCUUGAUUAAGAAAACAAAGACAGAAAAAAAAAUUUUUCCAAGAGCACUGGCUUAGUGGGUUGUCUUGUUGGCACAACUAGGCACUCCAGCCAACACCCUUUAUCCCAAAAUCUGGUUCGUAUGACUACCCCAGAUGCUAGAGGUGCAUGGUGAAAAGAUUUUGGAGGCCAUUCCAUUAGAGAAAAGGAGCCCUGGGUAAGCACCGGGCUGCUAACUGAAAGGUUGAUGGUUUGAACCCACCAGCAGCUCUGCUGAAAAAACCUAGCAAUCUGCUCCCGUAAAGAUUACAGCCUAGGAAUCCCUAUAGGGCAGUUCUACUCUGUCCUAAACGGUCACUAUGAGUUGGAACCCACCUGAGGGCACACAACAAUAACCAUUAAAAGAACUUUGAAUUUUUGGUUUCAAGACAUAAACCCACGAUGAAGCCAUCAAGUUUAGAAAGCAGCAAUGAAAUAGGUCCUCAGGCCUGGAGACAUAUCUGGUUAUCUCCUGAGAUUUCAACGAGUUGUGAAGCAUUGGUUAGCAAGUGUCACAGCCCUGCCCUGCCAAGAAUUCGGGCUCCUGAGGAAGGCUGAGUCUCUGGCUUGGUUUCUGUUGGGGAACUAACAUCCUUUCCUGCCUACACCCCCUCACCCCCCAUGUGGUACAGGCUGAAAUCGAAGAGCAUUUCUAAGCCUCUGCCUUCCCCACUGCUGUUCUGGUUGUGCAGAGCACUCCACGGAGAGUCAGAGGGGAAUGGCUAGCCUGGAUAGCCACGUCUCCUUGAGAAAACUGAGUAACUUGGUGAGCUUCCAUUUUUUUCUCUAUAAAUUGAGUGAGCUCAGCGAGAUUGUCUCCAAGAGCUCUUAAUUGGUUAAAAAUGUUCUGAUUCUGUUUAACGAGAUGUGGAAAAUAUUCAUGUUGUAUUUAUUGAUGAAAAAAUCCUUUGCAAAACAUUAUGUUUGACUUUUGCUAUUUUUAUUUUAAAAUGCAUGUAGCAGGAUGAAGGUACCUGUGCUUCUUACCUCCUAUGUCCUUCCCACAGAAACCCUGGUGGCAUAGUGGUUAUGAGCUACAGCUGCUAAUCAAAAGAUGGACAGCUGGAAUCGCCCAGGUGCUCCUUGGAAACUCUAAGGGGCAAUUCUGCUCUGUCCUAUAGAGUCACUAUGAGUUGGAAUUGACUCCGCCGCAAUGAGUUUUUGUUUUUGUUUUUGGUCCUUCCCACACCCCAUGCUGCUGGCAAAUACAGUGAAACCUGUGAAAGCCGGAACCUGUGCAAGACAGAAACCUGUCCGAGAAAGAAAACUCAAAUAUUUUCCACUUAAAUAGUGAUAGAAAACUGGUGACUGCACCCUGUCAAAGGUGGAAAACUUUUGAGAUCUGAUAAAACGAGGGAGUCCUGUCGAGUUCUGGAUCUCACCGUUUUCACUGUAAUUCAGUAAGAUAGUUUUUCAGGCAGGAGCUCUACUGCAGGGAAUGAGAGGCUAGGCUGGGAAGACUCAACCCCAGUGGGCAAAGGGUUCUCAGCAGCUUCAACCAAGAAGAGUUGAGGGAACUCUGAGGGGAGGACUUCUUGUUACCGUGUGCAGUCAAGUUGAUUCUGACUCAUAGCAACUCUAUAUGACAGAACAGAACUGCCCCAUAGGGUUUCCAGGAGACCCUGGUGGCCUAGUGGUUAAGU